rnacentral:rRNA from 1 species
AGACGUCUACAUUAGAUACCCGGGUAGUCCCAGCCGUAAACUAUGCGCGUUAGGUGUAUCGGUGACCACGAGUCACCGAGGUGCCGAAGGGAAACCGUGAAACGUGCCGCCUGGGAAGUACGGUCGCAAGGCUGAAACUUAAAGGAACUGGCGGGGGAGCACCACAACGGGUGGAGCCUGCGGUUUAAUUGGACUCAACGCCGGGAAGCUCACCGGAUAAGACAGCGGAAUGAUUGCCGGGCUGAAGACUCUGCAUGACUAGCUG